rnacentral:rRNA from 1 species
UACGGGGGGGGGCAAGCGUUGUUCGGAAUUACUGGGCGUAAAGGGCUCGUAGGCGGCCAACUAAGUCAUACGUGAAAUCCCUCGGCUUAACCGGGGAACUGCGUCUGAUACUGGAUGGCUUGAGUUCGGGAGAGGGAUGCGGAAUUCCAGGUGUAGCGGUGAAAUGCGUAGAUAUCUGGAGGAACACCGGUGGCGAAGGCGGCAUCCUGGACCAACACUGACACUGAGGAGCGAAAGCCAGGGGAGCAAACGGGG